rnacentral:tRNA from 1 species
GUAGACGCUACGGACUUAAAAUCCGUCGACUUUAGAAAUCGUGAGGGUUCGAGUCCCUCUAUCCCCA